rnacentral:tRNA from 1 species
CUAAGGAGAAGACUGCGGGUUCGAGUCCCGUACGGAACG